GAUGAACGCUGGCGGCGUGCUUAACACAUGCAAGUCGAACGAAGCACCUUGAUUCGAUUCUUCGGAUGAAGAUCUUGGUGACUGAGUGGCGGACGGGUGAGUAACGCGUGGGUAACCUGCCUCAUACAGGGGGAUAACAGUUAGAAAUGACUGCUAAUACCGCAUAAGACCACAGCACCGCAUGGUGCAGGGGUAAAAACUCCGGUGGUAUGAGAUGGACCCGCGUCUGAUUAGGUAGUUGGUGGGGUAACGGCCUACCAAGCCGACGAUCAGUAGCCGACCUGAGAGGGUGACCGGCCACAUUGGGACUGAGACACGGCCCAAACUCCUACGGGAGGCGGCAGUGGGGAAUAUUGCACAAUGGGGGAAACCCUGAUGCAGCGACGCCGCGUGAGCGAUGAAGUAUUUCGGUAUGUAAAGCUCUAUCAGCAGGGAAGAAAAUGACGGUACCUGACUAAGAAGCACCGGCUAAAUACGUG
rnacentral:rRNA from 1 species